GAUGAACGCUGGCGGCGUGCCUAAUACAUGCAAGUCGAGCGAACAGACGAGGAGCUUGCUCCUCUGACGUUAGCGGCGGACGGGUGAGUAACACGUGGAUAACCUACCUAUAAGACUGGGAUAACUUCGGGAAACCGGAGCUAAUACCGGAUAAUAUAUUGAACCGCAUGGUUCAAUAGUGAAAGACGGUUUUGCUGUCACUUAUAGAUGGAUCCGCGCCGCAUUAGCUAGUUGGUAAGGUAACGGCUUACCAAGGCAACGAUGCGUAGCCGACCUGAGAGGGUGAUCGGCCACACUGGAACUGAGACACGGUCCAGACUCCUACGGGAGGCAGCAGUAGGGAAUCUUCCGCAAUGGGCGAAAGCCUGACGGAGCAACGCCGAGUGAGUGAUGAAGGUCUUCGGAUCGUAAAACUCUGUUAUUAGGGAAGAACAAAUGUGUAAGUAACUAUGCACGUCUUGGCGGGACCUAAUCAGAAAGCCACGGCUAACUACGU
rnacentral:rRNA from 1 species